rnacentral:misc_RNA from 1 species
GAUGAAGAACGCAGCGAAAUGCGAUAAGUAAUGUGAAUUGCAGAAUUCAGUGAAUCAUCGAAUCUUUGAACGCACAUUGCGCCCGCUAGUAUUCUGGCGGGCAUGCCUGUCCGAGCGUCAUUUCAACCCUCAAGCUCAGCUUGGUAUUGGGCCCCGCCGACCCGGCGGGCCCUAAAGUCAGUGGCGGUGCCGUCCGGCUCCGAGCGUAGUAAUUCUUCUCGCUCUGGAGGUCCGGUCGUGUGCUCGCCAGCAACCCCCAAUUUUUUUCAGGUUGACCUCGGAUCAGGUAGGGAUACCCGCUGAACUUAAGCAUAUCAAUAAGCGGAGGA